ensembl:lncRNA
CAUUUAUCUGUGGAUGGCGUCUCAACAUCAAAGUCUCCUCAGCACGCUGUGCUCCUCUGAGCAUUGAACAUUUCAAAUGUAGGUCUACAAACUCCAGAAAAAAUGUGUUGUGAAGGCCUUCUGCUUACUAGAGGUGAAAAUACGUGCUGAUGGCAACUAUAGGAGUGAAUCAUUAAUGGAUGAGAACUGCUGAAUAGAAGCACACCUGUGGCAUCAGCAUGGAUGAGAGAGGCCUGGAGAUCUCGACCCAGACAUGCCCUGUCAAAAAGGGUGAAAGCCUGCACCCGUCUGUACGAAUACAAGUCCAAUAUUCAUCCAGACAGCGUGCCCUUUCUCAAAAGUCUGCAUGUACAUUCUGCUUCUCAAAAAACCUAAUUUGAGUCCUCAAGGAGCGACGGCAUCAGGAGAGAAGACACAGCGUGUGCUCACAUCUGUAGCAGCAGAUUUCGUUUCUUGCCACAGGACAUUAAUAAAGCAUGACAGUGACAGGUUAUUUCAAAGAUAAUAGGACCCCAGGACAAAAACUCUCCCGCUUUUCUGCUGAAAGGUCACGGCACAGCAUCGUAGAGACAUUAUGAAAAGGAUGUCUACACUUUAUUGGCUGGCUGAGCUUCAUGAGUCAUUCGGUUUGUGACACAUUGUUUCAUUCCUUGGAGGACUGUGAGCUUUUGUUGGCAGCUGGUAUUUUAUUUCAGAGAUUUCAUUUGAAGUGUAAUGGAACCUCAUCGAUUUCAGGGUUAUUUUCUCAUGACGUAGUUCACUGAAGCUGUUUAUUAGAGUACAUGUAUUCUUCACGGUUAUGUGUCUGCUAAUAUACUCCAUUCUGAGCUUUCUCAUACUGUCAUUCCUGUCUCUUUUGAUAUUGCUCAGUAUUUUGUCCUGUCUUUAAAGCAACUGUAUGUAGUUUUGUGUAUUUUUGCCACUUUGGAGCCCUCUACAGUUAAGUAUAGUAAAAAUAUCAUUGUUGGAAUUACAGUGGAUAGCUGUGCAUGUACAUUUGAUGCUGCUGUAAAACAAUCUGCCAUUUUUGAAGAAUUUCACCAACCUUCACAAUUUUAUUUCUCAUUUUAUUUUUUAUUUUGUUUUAUUUAAUUUUAUGGUUUUAUUUCAUUUCCUUUCUUUUUUUAUUAAUUUGUUUUUU